rnacentral:lncRNA from 1 species
ACACUUUCAUUUCUUCACGCUGCCGAAGAACGAAGCGCAUGCGGCGGAAUGGAUAAGAUUUUCAGGACGAGAGAAAACCAUCAACCGGAAAGAUUUUCGUAUCUGCAGCAAACAUUUUCCGCCAGACAAAAUUUGGAAACUGAAACCUCGUCCUCUUUAGACCCACGAUGCUGUGCCAUCAUUGUACGGCCUAAAAAACGGAUCGGUUUCGAAGUCGUCCAGCAUCGAAGACAAAACUUCAGGAGCGACUGUUGACAAUUUGCCACAGGAAAAUGAAGUGGUUCUUCAGAAUUUGGUAUGUGGCAGUAGUUUCGGUAAGAUUGUAAAACAGCAGUAUCAAUAACUUCUAAAACAAUCGUGAGUUUUUAGAGCUAUUGAAGGCUACAAUUUGUACAUACAGACAUCUAUUCUCGUUUAGUUAAAAAUAUCUAUUCAAUCAGAUCAAGUAUUUAGCAUUAUAAUAUACAGUAUACGAAGCGAAGUACAAAAAGACAAAAAAAAUAUGAAAAAUGACAAAGA